rnacentral:lncRNA from 1 species
CACAGUGGCCAUGAUAUGUGCGCACAACACGCACGUCCCAUCUGUGCACAGGGUGGAGGGUCACGACCAGCACGUGCGUACUGUUGCGCGCAAUCAGGCCGUUUGCGCGUCACCUCGCGCACAGACAAACGCCACACACUGUGCGCGCGCGUCGUCCACGCAGUAGGCCUGUGCGGAUAGGCCCUAUGUGCCUGGGGCCUGCAUGCAGUAAGCUUGCACGCGCAGCACCAAGGCCCUACGCGUGAAUGGGAGGAGGCCUGUGGAGCACUGCCACCUCGGAUAGUGCACUACCACUGCCUUGGGUGGCGCACUGUCGCUGUUGAUAGAGGAGGUCCUCUUCUCUCGUUUUUCAUGACGAACAUCUUUUUUUCCUCUCUCUUCACUGGAUUUGACCAGUUCUUAAAUUUUUUAGUUCCUAAAUUUUAUAAAUUACCCUCUCUUUUUCCUUCCUCUCCAAACUUCUAUUCUUCCAUUUUUCAAAGGUUUUAAAAGAGAGAGAG